UGGGGAAUAUUGCACAAUGGGCGCAAGCCUGAUGCAGCCAUGCCGCGUGUAUGAAGAAGGCCUUCGGGUUGUAAAGUACUUUCAGCGGGGAGGAAGGGAGUAAAGUUAAUACCUUUGCUCAUUGACGUUACCCGCAGAAGAAGCACCGGCUAACGCCGUGCCAGCAGCCGCGGUAAUACGGAGGGUGCAAGCGUUAAUCGGAAUUACUGGGCGUAAAGCGCACGCAGGCGGUUUGUUAAAUCAGAUGUGAAAUCCCCGGGCUCAACCUGGGAACUGCAUCUGAUACUGGCAAGCUUGAGUCUCGUAGAGGGGGGUAGAAUUCCAGGUGUAGCGGUGAAAUGCGUAGAGAUCUGGAGGAAUACCGGUGGCGAAGGCGGCCCCCUGGACGAAGACUGACGCUCAGGUGCGAAAGCGUGGGGAGCAAACAGG
rnacentral:rRNA from 1 species